AUCUUCUGUUUCAGACGUUUUUUUUUUUCUUUGUAUUUAAUCCGGCCUACGGCCGAAGGUCGCCGGUCACGUGUGACACUUCGAAGUAACCGGCGGAUUAGCGCGUCGUCACUUGGCGAUCUUCGUCUUCCUUCCAAUCUCAACUCGAGAGCUCGCGAGAAUCGUUCACGCGUGUCGAGAUUCAGUUUCACCAUCGCGCGCGAAUUUGGAAUACAAUUAAUCCUUCACCGGGAGGAUGGAUAGUUUCGAGCGACGCUUUCCGAUUCGGGGGGCGUCCGCGAAAGCCACGCAAAAAUGCCGCAAACCGCCCUCGAACGAGGGAUCGGGUUAAUUUUCGACAGUGUUAGCCUUACACUCGGGCGUGCGAGUUCGCCGGCCGCACGAGUCAAGUAAUCGUGGAUAAUCCGCCGGAUAAAUACCAAACCGGGUGCAAUCAUCCCUCUCGCUCGUCGAUGGCCGGAAUGAGGCCACUCUUGACUUUUCCCUCCGUGCAGUGAGCACGGGAUAGAGUGAAAAGUGCGGCGCAACAGAUUCUACAAGGUAUUCCCGUAGUCCCCAUCGAUUUUUCUCUCUUCGUUCUUAUUUUCGAAGAAAAUUUAAGUAAGCAUCGAUUGCCCGCUUCCACGAUAAUGCUUUAUUCGAAUCAUUCGAUUAGGAAACGGUCCGAAGCAAUAAAUUUUAAGAACGUUCCUAGAUCAAAGGGGAAAGGAAACUUUUUCAAAGAAAACUGCUACAUAUAUUUUUUUACGCUUUCACAUCUACUUAUAAAUAUUUAGUAACAUUCGUGAACAUUUAUGAAUUUUGGUAUGACUAAAUGUUUUUACGUUACAUAAAAUUAUCGACUUCAACUUUUGCAUGAAAAAUACAUAUUCGUUUAUCGCCCGAACUAGAAUUAAUGAAAAAUAUUGUGAACAGUUCCGAUGGCACGGUUUUAAAAAACAAGUACGGAUUUUUUUUAACAAAAUCGAUUGAAUUUGAAAAAAUAAUUUGUAGCAGCUCUCUUAAAAAAUUGUCGAAAAUAAGUCACUCUUUUUCGCUCUCUAGAGACUAGAAUAUCUCCUUAAAAUUAUUAAUGUUGUUUUUGACAUAUCUCUUUUUCUCUGAAAAGGCCUUUAAUAGAGUAAAUUAUGGUAUGAUGGCCACACGGAGAAGAUAGCCAAUAGCUAUUAUUUCUCCAGUAAUUGCUAAAUAAUGUGUUCUUGUAAUUAUUUUCAAAGAUAAUCGAUAUUGUAGUUUAUGUUCAUAUAUUCUGUUCGAAAUAACAAUAGUGUUGAUAUUACAUCACGUUUUUACUUUAGAUUGCCUGCAAAGUUUUUCACGUGCUCAUUAAAAAUUACCACAAUGUCGAAUAAAUUACAGUUGAGCUGCUACAAUUAAACGCACAAAGCAAUUUGGGUAAGAUUGGCCAUGACUUUUUUCGGAUACCGACAAAGAUCGAGUUAAAUAGAUGCUCAACUUAUAUAAACAUUUAUUAUUGAAA